rnacentral:pre_miRNA from 1 species
AAAAAGACAAACUCUGGGUUUCCGUGUCCAAUGUUUGAAUGUCCGUCUUCUAUGAAAUUUCUUUAUAAUUAGUAUUUUCAUUGUUGUUAGAUGAUAAAACAUUAUUAAUACUUUAUGCGUGACUUUUUUUUAAUUUUUUUUAUAUUAUUUUCAAAUAAGACGGACGGUCAAACGUUGGACACGGAAACCCAGGUUUGCUUUUUUU